rnacentral:snRNA from 1 species
UUAAUUUAUAAAAAAAAAAAAAAAAAAAAAUCUGUUCUUAUCAGUUUAAUAUCUGAUACGUCCCCUACCCAGGGACCAUAUAUUAAAUUGGUUUUUGGAGCAGGGAGAUGGAAUAGGGGCUUGCUCCGUCCACUCCACGCAUCGCCCCAGUAUUGCAGUACUUCUGGGAAUGAUGCACCCCCU